rnacentral:rRNA from 1 species
GACGAACGCUGGCGGCGUGCCUAAUACAUGCAAGUAGAACGCUGAAGAGAGGAGCUUGCUCUUCUUGGAUGAGUUGCGAACGGGUGAGUAACGCGUAGGUAACCUGCCUGGUAGCGGGGGAUAACUAUUGGAAACGAUAGCUAAUACCGCAUAAAAUGGAUUAUCGCAUGAUAAUCCAUUGAAAGGUGCAAAUGCAUCACUACCAGAUGGACCUGCGUUGUAUUAGCUAGUUGGUGGGGUAACGGCUCACCAAGGCGACGAUACAUAGCCGACCUGAGAGGGUGAUCGGCCACACUGGGACUGAGACACGGCCCAGACUCCUACGGGAGGCAGCAGUAGGGAAUCUUCGGCAAUGGACGGAAGUCUGACCGAGCAACGCCGCGUGAGUGAAGAAGGUUUUCGGAUCGUAAAGCUCUGUUGUAAGAGAAGAACGAGUGUGAGAGUGGAAAGUUCACACUGUGACGGUAUCUUACCAGAAAGGGACGGCUAACUACGUGC